rnacentral:rRNA from 1 species
AUUGAACGCUGGCGGCAGGCCUAACACAUGCAAGUCGAGCGGCAGCGGGACCUUCGGGUUGCCGGCGAGCGCCGGACGGGUGAGGAAGGGCUAGGAAUCCGCCUGCUAGCGGGGGAUAACGCGGGGAAACUCGCGCUAAUACCGCAUACGCCCUACGGUAGAAAGAGGGCGCUCCUCUGCCCUUGCGCUCACAGCUGAGCCUGGGUCGUAUUCGCUAGUUGGUGGGGUAAGGGCGCACCAAGGCGACGAUCUGUAACUGGUCUGAGAGGAUGGUCAGUCACACUGGAACUGAGACACGGUCCGGACUCCUACGGGAGGCAGGAGUGGGGAAUAUUGGACAAUGGGCGAAAGCCUGAUCCAGCCAUGCCGCGUGUGUGAAGAAGGUCUUCGGAUUGUAAAGCACUUUAAGUCGGGAGGAAGGGCUGUAGGCUAAUACCUCGCAGUUUUGACGUUACCGACAGAAUAAGCACCGGCUAACUUCGUGCCAGCAGCCGCCGUAAUAC